GAUGAACGCUGGCGGCGUGCCUAAUACAUGCAAGUCGAGCGAACAGACGAGGAGCUUGCUCCUUUGACGUUAGCGGCGGACGGGUGAGUAACACGUGGGUAACCUACCUAUAAGACUGGGAUAACUUCGGGAAACCGGAGCUAAUACCGGAUAAUAUUUCGAACCGCAUGGUUCGAUAGUGAAAGAUGGCUUUGCUAUCACUUAUAGAUGGACCUGCGCCGUAUUAGCUAGUUGGUAAGGUAACGGCUUACCAAGGCAACGAUACGUAGCCGACCUGAGAGGGUGAUCGGCCACACUGGAACUGAGACACGGUCCAGACUCCUACGGGAGGCAGCAGUAGGGAAUCUUCCGCAAUGGGCGAAAGCCUGACGGAGCAACGCCGCGUGAGUGAUGAAGGUCUUCGGAUCGUAAAACUCUGUUAUUAGGGAAGAACAAACGUGUAAGUAACUGUGCACGUCCUGACGGUACCUAAUCAGAAAGCCACGGCUAACUACGUG
rnacentral:rRNA from 1 species